rnacentral:rRNA from 1 species
ACUCCUACGGGAGGCAGCAGUGGGGAAUAUUGCACAAUGGGGGAAACCCUGAUGCAGCCAUGCCGCGUGUGUGAAGAAGGCCUUCGGGUUGUAAAGCACUUUCAGUAGGGAGGAAGGUAGUGUAGUUAACACCUGCAUUAUUUGACGUUACCUACAGAAGAAGCACCGGCUAACUCCGUGCCAGCAGCCGCGGUAAUACGGAGGGUGCGAGCGUUAAUCGGAAUUACUGGGCGUAAAGCGCAUGCAGGCGGCCUGUUAAGUCAGAUGUGAAAGCCCGGGGCUUAACCUCGGAAUUGCAUUUGAAACUGGCAGACUAGAGUCUUGUAGAGGGGGGUAGAAUUUCAGGUGUAGCGGUGAAAUGCGUAGAGAUCUGAAGGAAUACCAGUGGCG